UAGGUCUGGCAUGACCUUGGCUAGCUAAUACGCCAGACACCAGGGUCUUCAGUGAGGUUGGCCGCCGCGUGAGGGAGCGAUCCACCGUGACGAAUUGACGCCGCAUCCAUGCUCCGCUCUGCCUCCCUCGCCGGUAAUCCCCCUCCUAGUUGCGGUAUCUAUUGGGGUUGGUAGAAGUUCAUACCGUGCCUGAAUUAGAUUCUUGGAGCCUUGGGAAUUGUUCGCCGGUGUUGGAUUUUUCCGUGGAAUCGCCCCUUCACGUGGCCGGGAUCCCCAUUGCGUGUCGCGGCGAGCGAAUUCCUCCAUGGCGCUCCUAAUCGUAUCCGCAUCGUUUUGCGCUAACUAGGGCAAUGGUUUGUCACUGGGAAAAUGUGGAAUGCGGGUCUCCGGCGUGGCGCGCCGCCAUGGGUGGGCAACGCCGCCGUGCUGGUUCAGCUGAAGGAUGACGACAGCUGGUGGUCGUAGAUUAGCCUGUGUGCGGUUGAGAUUAGAUCCUAGCUACCGGUUUGUCUAAGUCGAUCUGCGGCGUUUGUUUCGGAUCUGGCGAGCGUGAUUCGAUCUGGUUAUUUUAAAUCCGAAUCACCCAUCAGGGAUCCGAGGGCCAGGGUUUCUUGGUGGAUCCAUCUAAUCUACACCGUCGAUUCAUCAUCCUGCGGUACAGAUCCCAUAAUACCCUUUCGCCGAGCCAGCUUUGCUAAAGAGCCCCUCUAAAAUUCUGAAAACAACCCGCCGUCCCUCAAUACUGUGUUCUGAGUCUAGGGUUUAAUUGCGCCGUAGCCCCUGCACUCCCCAGAAAUUGAUGUGCAAUCCAAAAACUUGUAAAUUGGUUAAAUAAUUGUGGAAAUAGAUUUUUAAUACAAAAAUAAUUGCUAGAACUUGUAUAAAUCAUAGAAAAUUCAUAUGAACUCUAAAUUGACCCAUUCUAAUUUCUAUAAUUUUGUAAUAUUAUUGUUUAUCGUUUAGUACCACUGUUUUGACAUGAAUGUUACAAUAAAAUUUAUAACCUAUUUAAUCUUGUACAAAACACAUAAAACCUUCAGAAAAUCCAUAACUUAAAAUCUAUAACUCCAAAAUUAAUGAUUCCUGCUCCUAGGAUCUUAUUUUAAUGUGUAGUUUAUUAUUAAGUAUUUUUUUACAUGUUUGGUGUGAUGUUAAUUUUCUCUAUAUAUUGUGCUUGUUUGUAUUGUGGCGAGUAGAAUAGCCAGUGGCCGAGGAUCCCGGGGCUCAGGAGAUAGAAGUUGCUGAGCAGGAGCUCAUUGAAGGCAAGUUGUGCCCUUGAUCACCUUCAUUUACCCAAUAAUGUUCUUUAUAAUCAUUUAUUCAUGCAUAGGCUUAAUCUUGAUGGGACCCAAUAGGUCACCCUAGUCUGUUUAUCCUUUUUACCUUGUUUACCCCUGAAUCAUUUGGGUAGUUUGCUAUUGCUUUAUUGGUUUUGGGUUAAUAUUUCAUUAUAUUCAUGUUCCAAUUAUUCUAUUAUUUUAUUUAUGUUCAUGUCAAGAUCAUUAUCUUUAAUUGGAACAUGGAGCUUAACUUGAGAAACACGUGCCACCACAAGGGUGGAAUGGGAGCAAAUCUAGUGGAACACUACCUUAGCCGAAAGGGGCAAGGGCAGUAGGGGAGUUGCAUGCAGGGAGGUUUCUCGGGUUGAUUUUGCUGCGAUGGUGGUCAGACGGGGGAUUCUUGCAAGUGCUCUUCCCAUAAACUGUAGCGGGUUUUCAGAAGCUAGUGGAACUUUGUAAAGGCCUCGUUGUGGAUCCCUAGCCAUUCACCUCGGUAGUGUCUAAGGGCCUUGCAAACCCUAGCGACAUGGGAUACACGACUUGUGGGUACAGGGUACAACCUCUGCAGAGUGUAAAACUGGUAUACUAGCCGAGAUUAUGGUCAAGAGCAGCUCAGGACUCUCGCAUGAUUAAACUAUGAAACUAAAUUCAAUUUGUCAUAUGCAUUGCAUGGGAUUAUUUAUUAAUUUUGUUCUAUUAUUUAUUAUGGUUUGGUAUUUACUUACAUUUAGUAAUUACUAAUAAAAUUUGACCAACUUAUUAAAAGCAAUGCUCAGCUUUAACCUCUAUUGUUGAUCAGCCUUACACAUCACAUGAACUCCCACCUUUGGUGAGUUCAUGCCACAUUAUUCCCCACAACUUGUUGAACGAUGAACAUGUGUGAGCUCACCCUUGCUGUCUCACACCCCCCAAAGGAGAAGAACAGGUAAUUCAAGAGGAGCCACACAACGAGGAGUUUGAUCUGAUCUAGGUGGCGUCUCCCAGUUGACUUUAUGGCGCCAAGGAUGGACCUUAUUUCGUUUUAUAUUUAUCUUUUAUUUUGUAAGACUUUCGCAAUGUAAUAAGUACUCUGAUGUUUUGUGAUAUUUAUAUCUAUACACUCUGUUAUUA
rnacentral:lncRNA from 1 species